rnacentral:tRNA from 1 species
GCCGGGGUGGUGGAAAUGGUAGACACGCACGUUUGAGGGGCGUGUGGGGUAACCCGUACGAGUUCAAUUCUCGUCUCCGGCACCA